GAAGUCUUCUUGAUUGUUGACUGCAACAUGUGAAAAUAGAGUAAAUAUAUUGUAUUAAUAAAUUAUACACCGUAGAUGUUUCCCAGGAAAGUUGGAAGUGGCGGUAAUUCGUCACAUUUAAAAUCACUAUGGAUGGGUGAUUACCACCGUAAUACCAUAAUGAAUAUAAUUAAGCCAACCUCCUUCGACCAAUUUACCGUGGUAAUAUUAAUAAUGCAAUAUACAACAAAUAUUCUCGAAAUUGCAAAGCACAAAACGGUAAGUAAAUAAUACCGGGAUUUACGUAGUUCCCCUCCAAUGCGGAGAGUACAUCUACGGCAGCCGCGACAAAUACGAGCACUUCUUCACUAUAACAAGGUAGCUACAAGGCGAUCUGAGUCGAUCCAAAAUAGUGUCUCUCAAGUGUUUCUCAAACCCCGAAACAACUACUCACUAUUUUUAUUACUCACAAAAAAGUAUUUCUAUCACGAUAAAACA
rnacentral:lncRNA from 1 species